AAAGCUGCAUGUGGAGAGCAAUGGUUGUCUUAAGCCUUGGCACCCAGACUUGAGACACCUUAAAGAGCCCGACACUUAGCAAGAAGCCUUGCAAGAUCAAAGGACUGUUAUUCCAGAGGACCAGGUGAAUGGCAGUGACUGCACAACCCUCCAAACACCCGUGUGAGAGAGUGAAUUUAAUUUCUCCUCGUGGACCUGGAUCCCAAGUGCUAUUCCUGGCUUUUGAGUCAAACCUCUGGGACUCUGAUUUUCAUCUGGAAAUUUGGGGUGGACGGUGGCCCAGUUGGAGGGGAUUGGAUGCGGUAACUGAAGCCCAGAGAAGUGAAGCGAC